AGUAAUGUGUGUAGCUAACCGAUACUAAUAGCUCGAUUGAUUUACUUUGCUGUGAGAAUACAUAUGCAUAUAGUGUUAAUUCUAUAAGAAUGUAGUAUCAACUCACAAAGUUAUCAGGUUUAUAUAGCUUUAUCAAUGAAUAAAGAUGUUGUUAUAUAACUCAAUUUGUCAUAGGCUUUGACCACAAAUAUCCAGUAAAAAUUACUUUACUGAGUAUCGUAGUAAAUGGUGUCAAGACUUUUUUAGAGCUGUACAACAACAUUAACAGCAGGCUAAUA
rnacentral:rRNA from 1 species